rnacentral:lncRNA from 1 species
GUUGCAAGAUUUAAAAUAUUCCGAUAAAGAAUAUUCCAAAAUUAUAAUAAAAUAAUUAUGAUUAUCGAUUUUUUUCAAAAAUCUGAAAAUUAAAUUCAUAAAUGGUAAAAUCCUUUACGUACACACUUGUAUAAAAUUUGAAAAAUAAUAUUUUCUAAUUAUUGAUUGAAUGUAUUCAAACAAUUAAUCACAAGUAACUAUCUAAAUUGGUGACAUUUGGCAACAGUGAGUAGAUCUGGUUUAUUUAAAUAGUAUGUUUAUUCCAAACAUAACCUUAUAAACAAACAGUUGUUUAUUUUAGAGUUAUUUAUUAUUGUUUUCUCAUAUUUUGCAAUUGUUAAGUUGGUUUACUUCGAAUUUAAUAUGCAUUACUGUGGUAUUUCUCCAGUUUUCUAAGAAGGUUGGUGAUUUUGAAUUGGGAUUAUGAUGAAUUUAACCCAAAGGCAAUGUGUGUUUAUUUAUGUGGCAAAAUUCCAGGCACCAUAAAAAUUUGAGUUUCUUCCUGUUGCCCAUGGAUGAAAAUCGGUUUGCAGAAUGAAAAGAAAUUGUUCAAUGUGAUAAACUUUCUAUGAACAGUCCUCAAUAUUGUUACAUUAACUUUUAAAUAUGCACUUUACAUCUUGAGGAGCAGGCCUUUGCAGAAAUACUGAAAAAACGCAAAAUAAAAUAAACGAAAUAUGUCUUGAGAUUAAACAUUCAAGUUGAAGGUGUGUUCUUUCUUCCUUAAACUGGAAUGAUAAUUUUGUAAUUCUUUAGGCACAUCUAUUGAGAAGUUACAACCAGUGGCAAAGUGCCUUAAGGGAAUCUAUGACAUAUAUAAUUGAAGGUAUCAGCAUUGGCUCUACAGCCCAUGGUGGGUCUUGGCCUGUUCCAGAAUCAGCUUCCACUCUUUCCUAUCCUUUGCUUGGCUUUCCAAUUUCUCACUCGAGCAUGAAUUUUUGGUAUAUAUGGGAUUAUAUUGUGAUAACGACCAGAUCUAUGAAAGAAUAGUAUGUUGUUAAAGAAGAUUGUGGUGACACUAUCUAUGAAUAUCUGAUAAUAUUGGUUAAUGUGAAUGGAGUCCAAAAUGGGGUUUAGGCUGUUAUAUAAAAAACUAGGUCAUUAGCAUAUGGAAGUAGGGCGACAUUAUCUGGUAUUAAAUUAUGUGAAUGAGGAGAAUUAAACCUAAAAACUCUAUUUAUUCUGCUAAUCAAUAUGAUUUUGAUAUAUUUUAAUAUAAAACAUAUGUUAUUC